CUGCAUUUUGUUGCGGCCAUCUGUCAUGGGGUAGUCUUUUCACUCUUUCCUUUUGUGUGCUCCUUUUGCGCAGGGGAUGGUUGCGACUGGUUGUCUGUUUGGUUCUAUCCCCAUGGGGAACUAAUUUGUGGGCUUUGGGACGGUGUUUGCUUGCCCUGCGGAUACUUGCUAUCUUGGGUGUGGCUGUUUUAUUAUGUGAGAACUUGCGUCGCAGUGGUGGAUUGCACCUAUGCUUCCCUUGUAUUUCACCGUGUCUCAUGGAUGCUGUGCCCGUCGAGGAUUUCAUGGGCCUCUGUUGCCCUGAUUUUCUUGGGAUCUCUGGUUGUGCAUUGGAUCAUUUGCCCCCACGCAUUCUGUGUCUUGCUGUGGAUGUUGGGCUGUCGGUGUGUUGCGUGAGGGGACGUGUUCCAUGUGCAUAUGUGAGAUGUUUUUCCGACUCAAUGUGCAAUUGUCGGUUCACGCCAUGCGAGUGGAUUCCCAUUUGGAGUGCUCUCAAAUGACGUGUCGUCUCUUGCUUAGGACGGGCUACCUGGUUGAUCCUGCCAGUAGUCA
rnacentral:misc_RNA from 1 species